GCUGUGAUGAACAAUUUUCAAAUUGAUCCACGGAGUGAAAAAACAUUGAAUUACCUCUGAGAAGUUCUGAGCUC